rnacentral:sRNA from 1 species
UUGUGUCUUAGAGUUUAUAAUGUCUCUUAUAUCAUUAAGAUUACAGUUGAUCAAAGUCUUCAGUCGUUUAAUGUUGAUAUGUGUGUUGCUUGUAGUAGUUUUUACUUUAAUUGUAUCUUUAGUUAUAUGAUGUUUUCAUACACGAUCUAGCACCUUGUUAGUAAUAUUUAGGUAGUUUAAUCUUUAGUACUAUGUUUUACCUAUAGAGAUUUAUUAAUCGAAUACUAAGUAUUGUUAGUAUAAGCAAUAGUUUAUGUAUCUCUACUACCGUAACAGUUAUUAUGAAUGUUGUAAGAAAGAUUUGU